rnacentral:rRNA from 1 species
UACGUAAGGGGCAAGCGUUGUCCGGAUUUAUUGGGCGUAAAGCGCGCGCAGGCGGUCCUUUAAGUCUGAUGUGAAAUCUUGCGGCUCAACCGCAAGCGGUCAUUGGAAACUGGGGGACUUGAGUACAGAAGAGGAAAGCGGAAUUCCACGUGUAGCGGUGAAAUGCGUAGAGAUGUGGAGGAACACCAGUGGCGAAGGCGGCUUUCUGGUCUGUAACUGACGCUGAGGCGCGAAAGCGUGGGGAGCAAACAGG